UGCCUAACACAUGCAAGUCGAGCGAGAAAGCUCCUUCGGGAGUGAGUACAGCGGCAGACGGGUGAGUAACGCGUGAGAAUCUGCCCUUCAGUGAAGAAUACCUCCGAGAAAUCGGGGUUAAUACUGCAUACGUCCUACGGGAGAAAGCUGGCCUCUUUGCUGGCGCUGAUGGAUGAGCUUACGUACUAUUAGCUAGUUGGUGGGGUAAAGGCCUACCAAGGCGAUGAUGGUUAGCCGGCCUGAGAGGGUGUACGGCCACACUGGAACUUAGAUACGGUCCAGACUCCUACGGGAGGCAGCAGUGGGGAAUAUUGCGCAAUGGGCGAAAGCCUGACGCAGCCACGCCGCGUGGAGGAUGAAGGUCUUCGGAUUGUAAACUUC
rnacentral:rRNA from 1 species